CAAAGAUCCAGAUACAUCCACGGUCUCUUUUUGUUUCACGUCAUAACUUUUGCUUUUUCCACGAAAUUUCUUUCUCAACUGUUGCAGUUUAUGUUUUUUGUUUUCUGGUUUAAAACUAUGUUUUUUUUGUAUAAUAGAUCUACCAGAAUAAUUUUUCAUAGAUCUCAUCAAUUUAGAUCUAUCAGAAUAAUUUUUCUUUCUCAGGCUUUAUAAUACUUUUAAAAAUUUUAUAUACUCGUAGUUUUUUUUGUUUGGUUAAUUAUAUAUUCUCAUAGUUUUUUUGCUUCUCUGAAUCUUUUUCGAGGCUUUUUGAAAUAUCCUGGUUAAUUGGUUACGCAUAUAGUUUAAGGUGUUUACCUAGAAUUUUUUAUCGUAAAAUUGGAAGUAUUUUUUGCGUGGUGUAAAUUAAUAUUUAUAAACAGUACUGAAUUUUAAUAAGUUUUUUUAUUUUAUUCAAUCUUGAGUACAAUUUAUGUUAAUUAGUAGAUAUGAAUCGUAUAGAAUAUUACUAAGUAGUGACAAUGAAAUUCAGGAUUUUUAUGAAUCUCGUGAUUUUUUAUUAUUAACAAAAGAACUGUAUAUGUCAUAUUGUAUAGUACUAUAAAUUUAAUUUUGCAAAUAUAGAUGAUAAAUAUGACUAUACUAUCUAUUUUAUCAUAAAAAGGGAAAAGUAGUACGAAUGCAGAGAGAAUGAAGGAAAAGUAGCACGAGUUUAGACAGAAUGGAGGUGAAGUACCAUAGUGUUUCAGGAGGAGACUUUUCAUCGCCGUUCUGACAGGUUUUUUUCUCGUUCAUAUAUCCAGAAGGUUGUGAUGUUUCUGAAUCAUUAUUUUCGGGUUUAUGAUAUGUAUGAUCUUGUUUAUUUACCGAAACAUUUUUAGAAUAUACAUAAAUCUUUUUAUAAGUUUAUUUCUCAACAUACAUAGAUCUACAUUUAUAUGAUGUUUAUGAUCCUGUUGAAUAUUAUAUUUAUCGUAAUUAAUUAUAUAGCUAGCUCUAUUUCUUUGUCUAAAUAUCAUGUUUUUUAUUCAAUAAAUUAAAAACUGUCCCAACACAUAUUUUCUUUGUGAAAUUAUGGCCCACGUGUGAACCCACAUAUCUAUGUUAAUUUAUGGCCCAUGUCCUCCCAACCCAUUUUUUAUGUUCCUUCCAAGUAAUGCCGAGUCCGGUUCAUUUGCCUGAGAGCACGGUACACCGUGCGAAUUACCAACGUCGUCAAAACGUGGUAUUGUUUCGCUGAACCGGAUUUGGUGUCAUCGAAACCAGAAUUAAUUCUUACGAUACCGGUAUCAGAUUCACCAUAACACGGGCUGUUCAUUCUCUUAAACCCUAAUAGUGCUUCAUCACUGAUGUUCGCGAAUCAAUCUUCUAUGGCUCAGAAAAGCACUCAACGAAUUGAUUCUUUAGGUUCUGGUUCUGAUUUCGCAAAAAGAUGCAAAAUCUUCUUCGUUUACUCUACAAAUGAGAAUAUAAGAGUGAAAGAAAGCCAUGGAAGGGAGAUUGAGUUGGUGUACCCAUUUUCCAGCAACAGAUCAUACCUAUUCGACAAAGUCUUCAGCUACGAGGAUGGGCAAGAUAAAAUUUUUGCAGCUACAAAACCUGCGAUUAGGUCCCUAUUAGAUGGUCAAAAUGUUUGCCUAUUUUCAUAUGGGCCAUAUGCAUCUGGGAAAACAUGUACUCUGGCUGGAAGAUUGCCCGAGCAUGAAACCAGAGGACUCUCCUACUUGGCAUUAGAAGAGCUUUUUGGAAUCGACCAAAACUUAAAUACCUCCAUUAGCAUGAUGGAGCUCAUUGGCCAAGAUGAAAUAAGAUACCUCUUACCGGAAUAUGUUUCUUCCAAGAGCGAGCUCCUUAGGAGAUCAAGAGGAAUUGAAGACAGUUAACCUGUUGAAAGACGGGUUCGCAAUAGAGAUGAAGCCUUGGAUGUUCUCACUAUUGGGUACUCUGCGAGGAACGAUCCCAGAAACUCUAAUUGCCUUGUGCGUGUCACAGUGAGAAAGAGUACCGUCAAUGGCACAACAAAUAGCUAUCUGUGGCUAGUUGAUUUAGCCUAUAGCGAGCAGAGAGGCAGGAUUGAAAUUGACAGGAAUCUAUCUACACUGGAGGAUGUUCUGUCUGCUCUCUCGUUGGAAUUGCCUCAUAUUCCAUACACCGAUUCCAAGCUCACACAUGUACUCAAAAAUUCUUUAGGGAGAGAUUGUUUAUGUGUGAUAAUGUUGCACAAUUCUCCAAAUACGAUUACAAACACACUCCGUGGGUUGGAUUUCGCCAGCAGCAUCAGAAGAUUGGAUCUGACUAGGAGGAAAGAGGAGCAUUUUUUGGAUUAUAUUAGGUUUAUCACACGUGUGAGACAUCUGUCUUUUGAAAAAAAUCCUCAGUUUAGUCCAUCUAAUCCACAAAUGCCACUGUGGAUAGUAUAUGAUGGGCUUGUCACAGCAGGAAGUCAGAAAAUCUUCAGGACGCUGGAGUAUGUGGCCUAUCAAAACAGCUUUUGUGAGAGGCUCUUUGCUAACAUAGCUACAAAGACUCAACAUUGUGUUGCAAUGGGGCUUCAAUGCUUAUUGGAGAAGCUUCUGUGUAUUGUGUGAAGAAGACCUACUCAGGUGCUUCUGGAGCUUAUGCAAUUGCUCGUGUUCUUUUACCAAUUGCUGCUGCAGCUAUCUACAAGGCAUCAGAGAUGUUUUUGGAAAAAAGACAAAAGGAUAAAGAGAAGAAGAAAGCGAAAAUUGCUUUGGAAGAAACACUACAGCUCAGAUGUGGUGUCUUGCAAGAAGAAUUUGAACGUAAAUUAGCUGCCACUGAAGUUAAAGUGAUGGAAGAACUUGAUCGGCGUAAGUAUAUCAACUGUGGUAUAUCACACACCUAUUAUAAAAUACCUUGGUCAAACAAUUGCAGCUGUAUGUAAAGACCUUUGAUCUAUUAUUACACUAAGAGGAAAAGCAAAGCCAUGUGUCCGUUAUGUGUUGAUCUGAUCUGGCUUGCUUUCAAGGCACUUACGUGCAGGCCUUGUGUGUUAGACUCAUCUACUUGCCUUUUGGAGAAGAUAAUGGUGAAAUUCAGAAGUGGUUUGGUGGACUUAUCUUUUCCCAGACUUCAGCGUGGUAAUUAUAGAAUCGGUCUAUCUCAGCAUCAAAGAGAACGAGACAUCAACCAUUUUUUGUCUGGAUGGUUUGGUGAGCGAGAAGUUUAUGAGAUAAAAGCAUCCUACACAGCUUUGUUUGGUCAAGAUAUGUGAUCAAGAAAGAUGGGGAAAAGAAGAGCCAAAUCCUCACCUGCAAAACUCGGGUGAAACAUUCUUCUUCUAAGGCAGAAGGUUCAGUAAUAUGUACUGUUCUUGUGAUAUCUGUAGUUCCAUCGACAUAGUGAGCUCCACUAUGGAGCAAGAAAAGUUUUUGAGGGUCUACACGACUGCAGCUCUCUGGCUCUGGUUUAUAAUGUAUAAUAAUAGCACCAUUUGCUCCGGAACCUGCAUGAGUAAUUUGAGAGGAAAAUAAUGAAAACCACUCACAGAGUGUCUUGUCUUAUGACAGGUAUGGUAUUAUAAUCGAGAAUCACGCUCAAGUUGCAAGGAUGGAAAUAACCAUACCGCUUAUGGUAUCGAAGCUUGUAACCAGAAAACCAUCUUGCAUUAUUCUUGUGCACUUCCUCUUUGAGCCAGGCUCGGAAAUGAGCUAGAGCAGCAGCAUAUAAGCAAAUACUAAAAUAUGUGGUCAACUGAAGAAAAUUACCAAAAAGAAAGCAAACUUUUCGAGAUGGGAAACUUGUAUCCUCUAAAAAAGGUUAGAUUAGGAGAAGAAGAUACUGCAAUUGAUUUUCUUACCCCAAGUGAGAAAUCUUCAUGUAAAUCCCAGAGGGU